rnacentral:rRNA from 1 species
AUUGAACGCUGGCGGCAUGCCUUACACAUGCAAGUCGAACGGCAGCAUGGAGAGCUUGCUCUCUGAUGGCGAGUGGCGAACGGGUGAGUAAUGCAUCGGAACGUACCGUGUAAUGGGGGAUAACGUAGCGAAAGUUACGCUAAUACCGCAUACGACCUGAGGGUGAAAGCAGGGGAUCGCAAGACCUUGCGUUAUACGAGCGGCCGAUGUCAGAUUAGCUAGUUGGUGAGGUAAAGGCUCACCAAGGCGACGAUCUGUAGCGGGUCUGAGAGGAUGAUCAGCCACACUGGGACUGAGACACGGCCCAGACUCCGACGGGAGGCAGCAGUGGGGAAUUUUGGACAAUGGGGGCAACCCUGAUCCAGCCAUGCCGCGUGAGUGAAGAAGGCCUUCGGGUUGUAAAGCUCUUUCGGCCGGGAAGAAAUCGCACAGGCUAAUACUCUGUGUGGAUGACGGUACCGGCAUAAGAAGCACCGGCUAACUACGUGCCAGCAGCCGCGGUAA